rnacentral:lncRNA from 1 species
UCGUGAAAAAGACAAAUUUCCCUUGAUUCAAUAGGAAACGGGUCAAAUUUAAACUCCAGAUGCAUUAUAGUUUGCUAUUUAUUUUUCCCAAAAAUCAUUCAUAGGUACAUAAGUAUCCACUUAAUCAGAGAUACAUGGUGUGGUGGCAGGACGUCGAGGUUUGGAUGGUGUCCGAGGGGCCCAACUGCAGAGCACGCAAACCGGCAUGCCAACCGCGUGGUCACCCUAAAAGAGCUUCUAUUUCUUCAAAGCAUCUCACUAUAUCCCCUUUUUAUCCGACAGAUACUUAUAAGAUGGAGCCACUGAUGGAAUAAAUCAA